rnacentral:rRNA from 1 species
AUGGCGACGGCCUCUUCCUUCGCCGCCGUCUUCAUCAGCAGCGCCAUCGCCUCCUGCUUCGCUGAGGUGUGCACCAUUCCUCUGGACACAGCCAAGGUGCGUCUUCAGCUGCAAAAGAAAACAGCUGCUGGGCCUGCAGCUACAGUAGGAAUGCUGGGCACAAUGAUGUCGAUUGCAAGGGAGGAAGGCGUCACCGCACUUUGGAAGGGCAUCAUCCCUGGCUUUCACCGCCAGUGCCUCUAUGGCGGUCUCCGUGUCGGCUUGUAUGAGCCUGUCAAAGCCUUAUUUGUGUUUGUAGGUGAUGCCACUUUAAUGAAUAAGAUUCUUGCCGCUCUUACAACUGGUGUCAUAGCGAUUGCUGUCGCAAAUCCAACUGAUCUUGUCAAAGUGAGAUUGCAAGCAGGUGGAAAAUCUACUGCCGUCAAGAGGCACUAUUCUGGAGCCCUUAAUGCAUAUGCCACCAUAGUCAGACAGGAAGGUAUCGGAGCUUUGUGGACUGGCCUUGGUCCUAAUAUGGCACGAAAUGCUUUGAUUAAUGCCGCCGAGUUGGCCAGCUACGACCAAUUUAAACAGAUGUUUCUAGGUCUUCCUGGGUUUACAGAUAAUGUUUAUACUCAUCUUUUAGCUGGACUCGGUGCCGGUAUUUUUGCUGUUUGCAUUGGAUCUCCAGUGGAUGUGGUAAAAUCAAGAAUGAUGGGCGAUUCAACAUACAGAAGUACAUUUGAUUGUUUCGCCAAGACAUUAAAAAAUGAUGGACUUGCUGCUUUCUACAAGGGGUUUAUUGCAAACUUUUGUCGAGUUGGGUCAUGGAAUGUGAUAAUGUUCUUAACUUUGGAACAGGUUAGAAGAUUCUUUCAGUGA